ACCCUUUUUAAACUUACAAUUUGUGUUACCUCUUAAUGAAUCUGACAAGAAUUCACUUUGAGGACAUGCUUAAAAAUAUUUGUAUUCAUAGAAUUUGAUUAAUAAAUCAUUUUAAUUUAAAAUGAUUUUAUUAGGGUUAACUAGCUCAAUAUGACAAAAACUCAAUUAGGGGAUAUGCUCAAAUUAUUCAUAAAUAACUUUUUAUUUCAUUAAAAAUGAAAAAGUCUAUUUAGAUUUAGAUUAGCUAGACAGAUGUGUGUGUGUGUGUGUGUGUGUGUGUGUGUGUGUGUGUGUGUGUAACACUGUACUGUCCAUUGAUCUGCAAUGAGAUUCGGGUUCCUGUGUCCCAGGUGUUGGAGAUAAGUUUACCCAGAAGGAUGAUGUAAUACUAUCCAGAGCGCACAAUCUCAACCUCCUGUCUCUUUCAACACGGGCUUCUUCAUCCUCACCUGCUGAAGAAAAAGACAACAGAAAAAGGAGCCGCAGCCUGCGAUCCCACAAGCAGAGUUCUCCACCAGAACCCUAAACGUACCGUAUAACCCAUUACAGUAAUCCUGCUCGGCAGAAAACAGGUGAAUAUGAGGGACAGAGGAGGAAAGAGACAUGAGAGCGAGGAUACUGGCUUUACCUGAGCUAGCACGUACUGGCAAGGUCCAGGAAACGAGAACUUCAGUCCAUCAAAGCUGAUGUGGACACAUACAGCCAGACACACAUCCCUGACUCACACACUCCAGGUCCAGAUUCUGGCAGGUCUUGGCACACUCUAUCCCAGCAUCCCUCACACUCUGACACUCAAACCGCUGCAGCGGAGGAGGACAAGAGAUAGAGCGCCGCCCUACAGGUGGAACACACUCAAAGAAUUAAUUAUAUGUACUUGUCUGAGCCACUUGACAAUAUUCUGUCCACUUGUGUGUCUUUGAUGUGUUCAAGUGCAAUUGUGCUCCAUUAGAAGUGCACAGAGAUAUAAGUGUGAGGAGGAAUACCUCUUGAAGAAGAAUGUCCAUCAAAGAAGAGGUCAGAGUAGAUCCAGUGGCUUCAUUAGAAGUGCAUUGCAUGGAUCCACUCUCG
ensembl:lncRNA